CCACUUGCAAUAUUCGAUAUUCUCUCUGCUUUCAGCUUCUUUACAGUGUUGCCUUGUGGCAUGGAGUUCAAGCAGCAUUGUACAGGGCUAUCAAAGCACAGAGAGCUUGCUACAGCUGAGGCCAG
rnacentral:pre_miRNA from 1 species